CUCCUGGAACGGAUAGCCAGCAGUUUUUAACUCUUCCGCCAAGACACAGAGCUUGUUGAAGUGUUCAUUGACUGUUUUAUCACCCAUCUUUGAUGUCAGAAAUUUAUUCACAAGGCUAAGCACCUUCACAAGGGAAACUUCUCCAAAAUCUUGUUCCAGCCUGAGCAUUAUUCCGCAGGCCGUUUUAUCCGACUCAUAUUCCGCAGCCAACGAAUCAGUCAUCGAGCCAAGAAUAUAAACUCUGGCAGUCUUGUUGUCCUUGGUCCAUUGCUUCAGUUCAUCAUUGUAUUCCUGUUUGUCUUCAUCUGUAGCAUCCUCUGCUGGCUCAUUAGGCGCCCCGGUCUCAGAAACAUAAUCUAUAUUCUCAGCCGUAAGCAAGAACAUAAUCUUCCUUUUCCAAACCGUGUAGUUUGUUCCAUCAAGUUUGUAGGCACGGAGUAAUUCAGCGAAGACACCAUUGGAAGCCAUUGAAAUUCAAUAUCCAACGAUUAGUUGCUUCCUCUGUUACCUUCAAGUUCCUGUCGUCGAGGCCGACAGUUGUCGAUGUAGGUCCUUGCCGCUGUACGCGAAGCAGGCCGGCGAGAGUUGGUCGGGGCGAUGAUUGAUGUAUCCGCUUCCUUCGAAGGAGCGCUAUGGAGGCACAGGGAACGAAGUCGACGGACGCGGCGGGAGCGGGGCGAAAAUUGAUGAGGGGCGGCGCGAACGUCGGGGAGGAGCCGCUCACGGGCGGUGGCAGGCUCGGCCCGAAGUGGAUGGGGAGGUGGAGGCGGAGGCGCAGCUGGGGCUUGGCCUGGAGGCGACGGCGUGGAUUUGGUGGAGGUCGGGCGAAGCGGCGGCGCUGGGCGAGCGGAAUCGAGCAAAGCGGCGGCGCUGGACCAGAGGAAUCGAGCGAUCUAAUCUAGGUUGACUUGUACGUACGGGCCUCCCUCUUUCCCUUUUCUUUUUGUAAAGGAUAAGCAGAGUACGCAGCGGAGUCCAGAUCGUAAUUGAUCCGACGAUUAAACAAAUCGUCAAACCCUUAAUCGGCUCUGGUGCCAAUGUAAGAAAUAUACGCACACGGUCUAACCCCUAUUCCUCGAUCCUUUUCCGUGGUUCCGCUCACAAUGAUCCAUUGAGGCUAGGGGUUAGGGACCUUUAUAUAGUGCUAUUCCAGUUAAUUUCAAACUGUAUAAACUGCAGAUAAAUGUCCAGAUAAAAUCUGUUUAAACGAAGACUCCAGGUUAACUUAACCAACCACGAUCAUUAGUAACCAUCAAGGAGUUUCAUCUGCAAACUGUCC
rnacentral:rRNA from 1 species